rnacentral:rRNA from 1 species
UAGGGAAUCUUCCGCAAUGGACGCAAGUCUGACGGAGCAACGCCGCGUGAGUGAAGAAGGAUUUCGGUUCGUAAAACUCUGUUGUUAGAGAAGAACAGCGCAUAGAGUAACUGUUAUGCGUGUGACGGUAUCUAACCAGAAAGCCACGGCUAACUACGUGCCAGCAGCCGCGGUAAUACGUAGGUGGCAAGCGUUGUCCGGAUUUAUUGGGCGUAAAGCGAGCGCAGGCGGUUAGAAAAGUCUGAAGUGAAAGGCAGUGGCUCAACCAUUGUAGGCUUUGGAAACUGUUUAACUUGAGUGCAGAAGGGGAGAGUGGAAUUCCAUGUGUAACGGUGAAAUGCGUAGAUAUAUGGAGGAACACCGGUGGCGAAAGCGGCUCUCUGGUCUGUAACUGACGCUGAGGCUCGAAAGCGUGGGGAGCGAACAGG